AUCAAUUUCAAGUAAGUGUUUUCAACAUAGUCUACGCUUUUUAAUAGGACCAAAACAAAGAUUCAGCCAAUCGGAAGCGAAUAAAUUGAGACCUAAAUAUACAGAAACAAAACUCCCAUAGACGUAUUCUAAAGAUCGUUCGAAACAAUACUUAAAGGGGCCUUAAACUUGUAGCAGUCUUGGAUAUCGUGGAUCAAUCUCAUUCCACUCAACUUUACAACUGUUUUUAGGGCAUAAUGAUAUGAUCAUAAAAGGCACGAUUCAGGGACGUUUACACUGAAUUAUCAUUGAUCUCAAUUUCCCUAUGUGGUCAUUACGGGGCUUCUUUUGCAGGAUUUUGAAAUGAGUUCGGAUAAUAAACUCACUGCACUCUCGAAAAAGCAACCAAGGCCAACAUAAUAAUAAUAAUAAUUUUAUUAUUUAUAUAGCGCAAAAUUCAUUAUCUAUAUGAUCUAAUGCGCUUUACAACUAAAAAUUAUAUAUGUGCUAAAACUAAGCUAAAACUACUAACUAUACUAUACUAACUAUACUAAAAUGAUACAUAAGCGAUAUCUUUGCUCAAAUGCUUGGUAGUACUUAGCGGCGCCCGAAAAGUUUGUAAUUGAAAUUCAAAAUCGUGGCCAUCCUGCUGAGAGCCAUGAAAUUUCACACAAACAUGAGGAACUAACCAAAGCUUUAUUCCCAAAAGAAUGGGUUCUUUAGGCAUUUAAAAAAAGGAGCAUGACGAAAAUAUGUCCAGGUCGGUGAGUUUGUUGUCCUGUCAUAGACCCGAGCAAGAAAGCCAGUGCUAGUUCGAUAUUUACUCGCCGCUCGCCAUGAAAUCACUGAAAAGCCGCCAUAUAUCGCCGAGAUAUAUCGCUUGCUAUGUAUAUACCUUCGAACCUGUAAAGGCUACCUGAAAUCUCAAAUACGAGCGAGUUUUCACACUCAUAGCGCUUACUGUCCCGCAAGCCAGCAAAAAAUGAUUAUGUCAAUUUAACCAGGGAAGUGCUGCUUUAACUUUAAAAAGCGUUGUGGUUUUUUAUACUACUCAUAUGUAAUUAGCGAAAGUUCGCCUUGUGGUCUAUCAGAAUUCACGAACCAUGACGCCCCGUUUAGUACAAGGGUUUUCAAUAAUUUGUAACCAAUGGUUCAAAGUUAUUCCUACGUGUUUCCCGUCCAAAUCUUACUUCAUUCUACUUACUUAUUCCUUAUGUAGUAGUUAAUGAAUUUUAAUCGAGAUAUCAGUAUUAAAAUACAGUAUAUUUAUCUUCGGGGCAAUGUCUCUCGUUGGCAUGUAUGUAUUUAACUUAAUGCUUUUGACAAAUUUAAACUACCAUUUCCGCGAUUAUAGAAAUCAGGCAUAUCCGUUGUACGAAUUGAUUGCCAGUGAUAGUUGAAAUAUAAUUUAGAUCUAUUCAGGGUUUCUUUUAAAAUUAUAUAAAUAUAAUUUCCCUUUAUAAUAUAUACAGUGAAGCUAUUUAUAAACGCAAGCAAUUUGUACGAAUGCGUUCGAUUAGGUUUUAAUAUUUAAUUUGUACCUUUGUGAAUUAACUCUAACAAUUACUGAAAGAUAAAUGUUAUCUCAGUUUUUAUUGUCUUUCCGUACUUUUGACACAGGUGUGGCAAGAAACCGGAAGGGAGGGGUGGUGCAAUAGCGCUAAGUUUUGCAACAUUCUAUGUUGCUGUUUGUUAUGUGAAAAAGUUUGCACAUUAUUAAAACAGUGUUUCUUGUAUAUUAAAUCAAAUUCUUCAAACACUAGUUGGAGAUAAAAGUGAAAGACCUAUUAAUUUCAUGAUUGAAUUAAAUGCCCUUGCUAUAAAUGUACUGAAAAUCUAGCAAAACAUUAUGCGUGCAGUUUACCCCUGUUAUUUGUUUGAGAGGCCAAUCACAACCACUGAUAGAGUAUUAUAUUUGAGAGGCCAAUCACAAACACUGAUAGAGUAUUAUAUUUGAGAGGCCAAUCACAAACACUGAUAGAGUAUUAUAUUUUAUUCCUUUACAGGCAGGAGUCAACAUUACAAGGGAGUUUACUGACGGCUGGAAUGAAAUGACAAAGGCAGAUUCUGGCCUCCGCUACAUCAUUUUCAAGUUGGAU